rnacentral:rRNA from 1 species
GAUGAACGCCGGCGGUGUGCCUAAUACAUGCAAGUCGUACGCACUGGCCCAACUGAUUGAUGGUGCUUGCACCUGAUUGACGAUGGAUCACCAGUGAGUGGCGGACGGGUGAGUAACACGUAGGUAACCUGCCCCGGAGCGGGGGAUAACAUUUGGAAACAGAUGCUAAUACCGCAUAACAACAAAAGCUGCAUGGCUUUUGUUUAAAAGAUGGCUUUGGCUAUCACUCUGGGAUGGACCUGCGGUGCAUUAGCUAGUUGGUAAGGUAACGGCUUACCAAGGCGAUGAUGCAUAGCCGAGUUGAGAGACUGAUCGGCCACAAUGGAACUGAGACACGGUCCAU